rnacentral:misc_RNA from 1 species
AUAUUUAACAGUCAAAUAGACAAGCAAUAAUGUUUUUGCAAUCCAAAUAAAUAAAUCUAAAUUAUUAUACAUAUAAAUGUACUAUUUUCCAAAUUCUAACUACUAAAUAAAUGUGAAUAAUGAAUAAUUCACCAAAAGUCAAAUAGAAUAAAACUAUAAGCUCAGUUUAAAGCCCUUGCCCUCAUCAUUACUAGGCAAUAAGCACAGAGCCACAAGCAAAAGGCCUAAUACCCAGAAAAAAUGAAGGAAGCUCUAUCAAGACAACAUAUGCAACAAGAUUAACUCUCCAGACCAGAGCAUAUCAAUCCUCGGGUUGCUACAAUCUUAGGCUUUAUUCAAAUCAAUAAUCA